GCCCCGGCAGGGUAGCGGGGGGCGGGGCGAGGAGCCCGGACGCCUGGGUCCUUUGCACGCCGCGGCGAGAGCUGCGGGGGUGUGUGUGUGUGUGGGGGGGGUUCCAGGGCUGCCGGAGCGGGGUGCCCGGCCGAGACCCUCCCCGCCCCGGCGCCACCCGGCCCGGCGCCACCCGGCGCCGCCCAGGGCAAGGUCCCCCGUCCGCGGCCAUAAAUACAGCGAGCGGCUGGGAUCCGGGAUCCCUGGAGCAUCUGCAGCCAUGGACGGGGCCAAGCACCACCACGGGGACCACGGCAAGAAGCACAAGGACGGACACUCCUCCGACUCCAGCUCCAGCUCCAGCUCCAGCGAUGGGGAGAAGCACCACGGUCCGGGCCACGAGCACAAGAAGAAGGAGAAACUGCACAAGAAACCCAAGGACAAGAAAAAGGAAAAGAAAGGCCACUGAGCGGGGCCAGGGCCCAGCAGCACUGCUGGGUGCAACGGGGCAGCGACGGGGCAGGGGCUGCCCCGAGGCAGGGCCCAGCAUCCACCCGUGGCAGCACCACCCCGUUCUACCUGCUAAUAAAGAGCUCCAACCCUGA